rnacentral:rRNA from 1 species
UACGAAGGGUGCAAGCGUUACUCGGAAUUACUGGGCGUAAAGCGUGCGUAGGCGGUUUGUUAAGUCUGCCGUGAAAGCCCCGGGCUCAACCUGGGAAUGGCGAUGGAUACUGGCGAGCUAGAGUACGGUAGAGGAGAGUGGAAUUCCCGGUGUAGCAGUGAAAUGCGUAGAGAUCGGGAGGAACAUCAGUUGCGAAGGCGGCUCUCUGGACCAGUACUGACGCUGAGGCACGAAAGCGUGGGGAGCAAACAGG